GGGAGUGAGUGAGCUAGUGAGCCAAAAGUCAGUGCGUGCCGAGUCCCCGGGAGGAGGGUCCCCAGGGAGGGCCCGGUCUGGGCCUCAGGAGCCGCCCCCUCAGCCACUCCAUCUCCUCACGCCCCUGUGGCUCCCUGCCCAUUUCCUGCCCCCAAGGUCCUCCUGGGCCUUCCAGACCCCGGCGGCAGUUACCUGUCCCCUCCCCCACGCGGCAUGCACCUCCCCUUUCCUGCGGCCACCUCGGACCCCGGACGCUCCGCUGCCGGCGCUCUCUUCCCUCUGCUCUUCCCCUCUGCGAGCGAGUGGGAUGAGGGACGCUGAGCCUCGGGGGUGGCGCGAGCCGGGGCCCGGGCGCCUAGACAAUAGUUGAUGCCCAGGGACGGGGCACCUCCGCCCCCUGUUCCGGAGCGCGGCCCCCACCGACUACUUGCAGCCUGCAUUCCGGGGCCCCCUCAGAGCCAGGCUCGGGAGUUGGGCUUAUUCUGCCUCCGCCUCCCCCGCGUCCCCUUGAGGGACGCUGAGCCUCGGGGGUGGCGCGAGCCGGGGCCCGGGCGCCUAGACAAUAGUUGAUGCCCAGGGACGGGGCACCUCCGCCCCCUGUUCCGGAGCGCGGCCCCCACCGACUACUUGCAGCCUGCAUUCCGGGGCCCCCUCAGAGCCAGGCUCGGGAGUUGGGCUUAUUCUGCCUCCGCCUCCCCCGCGUCCCCUGUCCCCUACGGACGCGCCCGGGACUCGAGGCUGCCUUGGGAGGCCGGACUGAGCGCUUGUACAGUAUCAGUAUGGAUUCUGUUGUUUAACUUUCUGUAGCCAAGGCACAAGAAUGUAUAGUAAGUACUAUGCCAUAAAAGUAUACUUGCAAAGUCUUGACUUUCUGUGUUUAAAUUUUCCUCACUCUUUUCUAGGGAUGGAAUUCAGGCAACCCCAAAUCAGAUGUUUAAAUUUCUGAUAGGAGAAAUGGAAAUAUAGAAACUAUUUUUAAAAAUAAUCCUUUCUCGGAGAUCAGUGCAUUUGGUCAUCUGCCUUUUAUUUUCGUGGCUCAGGGGAUUGAACCUGGGGGCCUUCACAGUGAGCUGCAGCCCCAGCCUUUUCUGUUUAUUUAAUGUUUUGGGACAGGUCUAAGUCAAUAAAUUGCUCAGGCUAGCUCAGACUUGGAAUUCUCCUUUCUUUCAACCUCCUAGAGUGCCAGGCAUGUACCAC
rnacentral:lncRNA from 1 species